GUGAGUGUGAUGAUUGUAAAUGUAAUUCCUCGUACUGAAAGCUAUUGGCUUGAUAGACUCACAUUACACCCAUAGAAUAUGAGCACUC
rnacentral:snoRNA from 1 species